UACGAAGGGGGCUAGCGUUGUUCGGAUUUACUGGGCGUAAAGCGCACGUAGGCGGACUUUUAAGUCAGAGGUGAAAUCCCAGGGCUCAACCCUGGAACUGCCUUUGAUACUGGAAGUCUUGAAUUCGGGAGAGGUGAGUGGAACUGCGAGUGUAGAGGUGAAAUUCGUAGAUAUUCGCAAGAACACCAGUGGCGAAGGCGGCUCACUGGCCCGAUAUUGACGCUGAGGUGCGAAAGCGUGGGGAGCAAACAGG
rnacentral:rRNA from 2 species